AUAAAAGUGUCAUUUGCUAGACUUGCUAUAUUAGAUUCUCACCAUCUGUCAGACUAGAGGGACCAAAAUGAUUUCACAGACUCAUCUCAUCUGUCUCCUAGUGCUCUGGAUUCAGGAUGCCAGUGGGCAGAUUGUGAUGACUCAGACUCCAGAAUCCGUGGCAGUGUCUCCAGGAGACAGAGUCACCAUCAACUGCAAAGCCAGUUCCAGUGUUAGUAGCUCCAUGUCCUGGUACCAACAGAAAUCAGGACAAGCUCCUAAGCUCCUUAUCUACAGCGCUUCCACCCGUCCCUCUGGUGUUCCAGACCGGUUCAGUGGCAGCGGGUCUGGCACUGACUUCACUUUCACAAUCAGCCGGGUAGAAGCUGAUGAUGCUGGAGAUUAUUAUUGUCUACAAGGCUAUAGUUUACCUCUCACAGUGAUACAGACCAAUACAAAAACCUCCCUGCUUUCUUCAAUUUCUGUUCCUUACUGUAACUGCUGA